rnacentral:rRNA from 1 species
AGUGAACGCUGGCGGUAGGCCUAACACAUGCAAGUCGAACGGCAGCACAGGAGAGCUUGCUCUCUGGGUGGCGAGUGGCGGACGGGUGAGGAAUACAUCGGAAUCUACUCUGUCGUGGGGGAUAACGUAGGGAAACUUACGCUAAUACCGCAUACGACCUACGGGUGAAAGCAGGGGAUCUUCGGACCUUGCGCGAUUGAAUGAGCCGAUGUCGGAUUAGCUAGUUGGCGGGGUAAAGGCCCACCAAGGCGACGAUCCGUAGCUGGUCUGAGAGGAUGAUCAGCAACACUGGAACUGAGACACGGUCCAGACUCCUACGGGAGGCAGCAGUGGGGAAUAUUGGACAAUGGGCGCAAGCCUGAUCCAGCCAUACCGCGUGGGUGAAGAAGGCCUUCGGGUUGUAAAGCCCUUUUGUUGGGAAAGAAGUCCAGCUGGCUAAUACCCGGUUGGGAUGACGGUACCCAAAGAAUAAGCACCGGCUAACUUCGUGCCAGCAGCCGCCGUAA